rnacentral:rRNA from 1 species
UACGAAGGGGGCUAGCGUUGUUCGGAAUCACUGGGCGUAAAGGGCGCGUAGGCGGCCGAUCAAGUCGGGGGUGAAAGCCUGUGGCUCAACCACAGAAUUGCCUUCGAUACUGUUUGGCUUGAGACCGGAAGAGGUAAGUGGAACUGCGAGUGUAGAGGUGAAAUUCGUAGAUAUUCGCAAGAACACCGGUGGCGAAGGCGGCCAUCUGGACCGCAACUGACGCUGAGGCGGCGAAAGCGUGGGGAGCAAACAGG